GAUUAACGCUGGCGGCGUGCCUGACACAUGCAAGUCGAACGAGGCCGCAAGGCCUAGUGGCGGACGGGUGAGUAACACGUGACCAACCAACCCCGAAGUUGGGAAUAGCUCUGCGAAAGUAGAGGUAAUACCGAAUGUGGUCCAGGGCGGACAUCCGCUCUGGUCUAAAGAUUUUAUCGCUUCGGGACGGGGUCGCGGCCUAUUAGCUUGUUGGUGGGGUAACGCCCACCAAGGCGAUGAUGGGUAGCUGGUCUGAGAGGACGACCAGCCACACUGGGACUGAGACACGGCCCAGACUCCUACGGGAGGCAGCAGUGAGGAAUCUUCCGCAAUGGGCGAAAGCCUGACGGAGCAACGCCGCGUGUGGGAUGAAGACCUUAGGGUUGUAAACCACUGUCGGAGGGACGAUCGUGACGGUACCCUCCAAGAAACGCCCCGG
rnacentral:rRNA from 1 species